AACGAACGCUGGCGGCAGGCUUAACACAUGCAAGUCGAACGCUCGUAGCAAUACGGGAGUGGCGGACGGGUGAGUAACGCGUGGGAACGUGCCCUGAAGUACGGAAUAACUGCGGGAAACUGCAGCUAAUACCGUAUGAGCCCCGCAAGGGGGAAAGAUUUAUCGCCUUAGGAGCGGCCCGCGCCGGAUUAGCUAGUUGGUGGGGUAACGGCUUACCAAGGCUUCGAUCCGUAGCUGGUCUGAGAGGACGAUCAGCCACACUGGGACUGAGACACGGCCCAGACUCCUACGGGAGGCAGCAGUGGGGAAUCUUGCGCAAUGGGGGCAACCCUGACGCAGCCAUGCCGCGUGAAUGAUGAAGGCCUUAGGGUUGUAAAGUUCUUUUGCCCGUGACGAUGAUGACGGUAACGGGAGAAUAAGCUCCGGCUAACUUCGUGCCAGCCGCCGCGGUAAAAC
rnacentral:rRNA from 1 species